rnacentral:rRNA from 1 species
CGGGGGAGCAAGCGUUGUUCGGAUUUACUGGGCGUAAAGGGCGCGUAGGCGGCCACCGCAAGUCGACUGUGAAAUCUCCGGGCUUAACCCGGAACGGUCAGCCGAUACUGCGGGGCUAGAGUGCAGAAGGGGCAACUGGAAUUCUCGGUGUAGCGGUGAAAUGCGUAGAUAUCGAGAGGAACACCUGCGGCGAAGGCGGGUUGCUGGGCUGACACUGACGCUGAGGCGCGAAAGCUAGGGGAGCGAACGGGAUUAGAUACCCCGGUAGUCCUAGCCUUAAACGAUGAAUGCUUGGUGUCUGGGGUUUUAUAGUCCCCGGGUGCCGUCGCUAACGCUUUAAGCAUUCCGCCUGGGGAGUACGGUCGCAAGACUG